rnacentral:rRNA from 1 species
GGUGAACGCUGACAGAAUGCUUAACACAUGCAAGUCUACUUGAACUUCGGUUUGGGUGGCGGACGGGUGAGUAACGCGUAAAGAACUUGCCUCACAGUUAGGGACAACAUUUGGAAACGAAUGCUAAUACCUGAUAUUAUGAUUUUAGGGCAUCCUAGGAUUAUGAAAGCUAUAUGUGCUGUGAGAGAGCUUUGCGUCCCAUUAGCUAGUUGGAGAGGUAACGGCUCACCAAGGCGAUGAUGGGUAGCCGGCCUGAGAGGGUGAACGGCCACAAGGGGACUGAGACACGGCCCUUACUCCUACGGGAGGCAGCAGUGGGGAAUAUUGGACAAUGGACCAAAAGUCUGAUCCAGCAAUUCUGUGUGCACGAUGACGUUUUUCGGAAUGUAAAGUGCUUUCAGUUGGGAAGAAAAAAAUGACGGUACCAACAGAAGAAGUGACGGCUAAAUACGUG